rnacentral:rRNA from 1 species
UACGGGGGGGGUAAGCGUUGUUCGGAAUUACUGGGCGUAAAGGGCUCGUAGGCGGACUAUUAAGUCAGGGGUGAAAUCCCGGGGCUCAACCCCGGAACUGCCUUUGAUACUGGUAGUCUCGAGUCCGGAAGAGGUGAGUGGAAUUCCGAGUGUAGAGGUGAAAUUCGUAGAUAUUCGGAGGAACACCAGUGGCGGAAGGCGGCUCACUGGUCCGGUACUGACGCUGAGGUGCGAAAGCGUGGGGAGCAAACAGGAU